AUUGAACGCUGGCGGAAUGCUUUACACAUGCAAGUCGAACGGCAGCACGGGGCAACCUGGUGGCGAGUGGCGAACGGGUGAGUAAUAUAUCGGAACGUGCCCAAUCGUGGGGGAUAACGUAGCGAAAGUUACGCUAAUACCGCAUACGAUCUACGGAUGAAAGCGGGGGAUCGCAAGACCUCGCGCGAAUGGAGCGGCCGAUAUCAGAUUAGGUAGUUGGUGGGUAAAGGCUCACCAAGCCAACGAUCUGUAGCUGGUCUGAGAGGACGACCAGCCACACUGGAACUGAGACACGGUCCAGACUCCUACGGGAGGCAGCAGUGGGGAAUUUUGGACAAUGGGCGCAAGCCUGAUCCAGCCAUUCCGCGUGCAGGAUGAAGGCCUUCGGGUUGUAAACUGCUUUUGUACGGAACGAAAAAGCCUUCUCUAAUAAAGGGGGUGAAUGACGGUACCGUAAGAAUAAGCACCGGCUAACUACGUG
rnacentral:rRNA from 1 species